ACCAAAAUAGCUCAGUUGGGAGAGCGUUAGACUAUAGAUCGAAAGGUCCCUGGUUCGAUCCCGGGAUUCGGCA
rnacentral:tRNA from 1 species